CAUUAAAUCAGUUAUCGUUUAUUUGAUAGUACCUUACUACUUGGAUAACCGUGGUAAUUCUAGAGCUAAUACAUGCUAAAAACCCCGACUUCGGAAGGGGUGUAUUUAUUAGAUAAAAAACCAAUGCCCUUCGGGGCUCCUUGGUGAUUCAUAAUAACUUAACGAAUCGCAUGGCCUUGUGCCGGCGAUGGUUCAUUCAAAUUUCUGCCCUAUCAACUUUCGAUGGUAGGAUAGUGGCCUACCAUGGUUUCAACGGGUAACGGGGAAUUAGGGUUCUAUUCCGGAGAGGGAGNCUGAGAAACGGCUACCACAUCCAAGGAAGGCAGCAGGCGCGCAAAUUACCCAAUCCCGACACGGGGAGGUAGUGACAAUAAAUACUGAUACAGGGCCCUUUUGGGUCUUGUAAUUGGAAUGGUCAAUAAUGCCGGUACCUCCAGCUCCAAUAGCGUAUAUUAAAGUUGUUGCAGUUAAAAAGCUCGUAGUUGAACCUUGGGCCUGGCUGGCCGGUCCGCCUCACCGCGUGCACUGGUCCGGCCGGGCCUUUCCUUCUGGGGAGCCGCAUGCCCUUCACUGGGUGUGUCGGGGAACCAGGACUUUUACUUUGAAAAAAUUAGAGUGUUCAAAGCAGGCCUAUGCUCGAAUACAUUAGCAUGGAAUAAUGAAAUAGGACGUGUGGUUCUAUUUUGUUGGUUUCUAGGACCGCCGUAAUGAUUAAUAGGGAUAGUCGGGGGCAUCAGUAUUCAAUUGUCAGAGGUGAAAUUCUUGGAUUUAUUGAAGACUAACUACUGCGAAAGCAUUUGGCAAGGAUGUUUUCAUUAAUCAGUGAACGAAAGUUAGGGGAUCGAAGACGAUCAGAUACCGUCGUAGUCUUAACCAUAAACUAUGCCGACUAGGGAUCGGGCGAUGUUAUCUUUUUGACUCGCUCGGCACCUUACGAGAAAUCAAAAUCUUUGGGUUCU
rnacentral:rRNA from 1 species